GAUGAACGCUGGCUACAGGCUUAACACAUGCAAGUCGAGGGGAAACGACGGGGAAGCUUGCUUCCCCGGGCGUCGACCGGCGCACGGGUGAGUAACGCGUAUCCAACCUGCCUCUGACUGAGGGAUAACCCGUCGAAAGUCGGCCUAAUACCUCAUGGCAUCGUCUGCGGGCAUCCAACGACGAUUAAAGAUUUCAUCGGUCAGGGAUGGGGAUGCGUCUGAUUAGCUUGUUGGCGGGGUAACGGCCCACCAAGGCUACGAUCAGUAGGGGUUCUGAGAGGAAGGUCCCCCACAUUGGAACUGAGACACGGUCCAAACUCCUACGGGAGGCAGCAGUGAGGAAUAUUGGUCAAUGGGCGGGAGCCUAAACCAGCCAAGUAGCGUGCAGGAUGACGGCCCUAUGGGUUGUAAACUGCUUUUAUGCGGGGAUAAAGUGAGGGACGUGUCCUUCAUUGCAGGUACCGCAUGAAUAAGGACCGGCUAAUUCCGUG
rnacentral:rRNA from 1 species